rnacentral:rRNA from 1 species
AGUGAACGCUGGCGGUAGGCCUAACACAUGCAAGUCGAACGGCAGCACAGUAAGAGCUUGCUCUUACGGGUGGCGAGUGGCGGACGGGUGAGGAAUACAUCGGAAUCUACUUUUUCGUGGGGGAUAACGUAGGGAAACUUACGCUAAUACCGCAUACGACCUACGGGUGAAAGCAGGGGAUCUUCGGACCUUGCGCGAUUGAAUGAGCCGAUGUCGGAUUAGCUAGUUGGCGGGGUAAAGGCCCACCAAGGCGACGAUCCGUAGCUGGUCUGAGAGGAUGAUAGGACACACUGGAACUGAGACACGGUCAAGACUCAUACGGGAGGCAGCAGUGGGGAAUAUUGGACAAUGGGCGCAAGCCUGAUCCAGCCAUACCGCGUGAGUGAAGAAGGCCUUCGGGUUGUAAAGCCCUUUUGUUGGGAAAGAAAAGCAGCAGGUUAAUACCCCGCUGUUCUGACGGUACCCAAAGAAUAAGCACCGGCUAACUUCGUG